rnacentral:rRNA from 1 species
UAGUCCGGAUUGGUUGGAGUCUGCAACUCGACUCCAUGAAGUCGGAAUCGCUAGUAAUCGUGGAUCAGAAUGCCACGGUGAAUACGUUCCCGGGCCUUGUACACACCGCCCGUCACACCAUGGGAGUGGGUUGCAAAAGAAGUAGGUAGCUUAACCUUCGGGAGGGCGCUUACCACUUUGUGAUUCAUGACUGGGGUGAAGUCGUAACAAGGUAACCGUAGGGGAACCUGCGGUUGGAUCACCUCCUUA